UCAACAGUCCAUGUUGUGAACCGCAGUGCUACCUGAGAACUCAAGCUUGGGUCACACACACAUGAAUCCUGCAACAUCUGUCAAAGGAUUAUGCAGUUGUCUGUAAUCCUUCUGUUUCUCCAGCUGUGGGGGAAUGUGGAAGUUUCUCUGUCACAGAAUGUGUGUUCGAAGCUCCCAGAUGUUCCUCACGCCCAUGUGUCAGAAGAGACCAAAAAAGCUGAGUACCAAGAAACAGACGUGAUACAUUUCACUUGUGAACCUGGUUAUAUAUCAGAUCAAACC